rnacentral:snRNA from 1 species
GUACUCCCUUCAGCAGCACAUAUACUAAAAUUGGAGAAGAUUAGCAUGACCCCUGCACAAGGAUGACGUGCAAAUUCGUGAAGUGUUCAAUAUUUUG